rnacentral:rRNA from 1 species
AACGAACGCUGGCGGCAGGCUUAACACAUGCAAGUCGAGCGCCCCGCAAGGGGAGCGGCAGACGGGUGAGUAACGCGUGGGAAUCUACCCAUCUCUACGGAAUAACGCAUGGAAACGUGUGCUAAUACCGUAUACGUCCUUCGGGAGAAAGAUUUAUCGGAGAUGGAUGAGCCCGCGUUGGAUUAGCUAGUUGGUGGGGUAAAGGCCUACCAAGGCGACGAUCCAUAGCUGGUCUGGGAGGAUGAUCAGCCACACUGGGACUGAGACACGGCCCAGACCCCUACGGGAGGCAGCAGUGGGGAAUAUUGGACAAUGGGCGCAAGCCUGAUCCAGCCAUGCCGCAUGAGUGAGGAAGGCCCUAGGGUUGUAAAGCUCUUUCACCGGUGAAGAUAAUGACGGUAACCGGAGAAGAAGCCCCGGCUAACUGCGUGCCAGCCGCCGCCGUAAAAC